AUUGAACGCUGGCGGCAGGCCUAACACAUGCAAGUCGAGCGGAUGAAGGGAGCUUGCUCCUGGAUUCCGCUGCGGACGGGUGAGUAAUUCCUAGGAAUCUGCCUGGUAUUUGGGGCUAACGUCCGUAAACGGGCGCUAAUACCGCAUCCGUCCUGAGGGAGAACGUGGGGGUUCUUCGGACCUCACCCUAUCUGCUGUCCCUAGGUCGGAUUAGCUAGUUGGUGGGGUAAGGGCCUACCAGGGCGACGUUCCGUAACUGGUCUGAGAGGAUGAUCAGUCACACUGGAACUGAGACACGGUCCAGACUCCUACGGGAGGCAGCAGUGGGGAAUAUUGGACAAUGGGCGAAAGCCUGAUCCAGCCAUGCCGCGUGUGUGAAGAAGGUCUUCGGAUUGUAAAGCACUUUAAGUUGGGAGGAAGGGCAGUAAGUGAAUACCUUGCUGUUUUGACGUUACCAACAGAAUAAGCACCGGCUAACUUCGUG
rnacentral:rRNA from 1 species